UUUUUAUCCAUUCUAGUAGCGCAUCUGCUCACGUCCGCGGUCCGCUCUCUUCCCAGCGUCCUUUGCCUCCUCUCUCUCGUUUCCAGCUCGCACGCCGCCCCAUCCCGCCUGCCUCAUCGUGGCGCUCCUCCCCUCCAGAUCCAGCUAGGGCGCGACUCGCAGCACCGGCGGCGCUGGCUGGGCUGCCUUGCAGAGUGGCGGCUCCUCCCCGCCGGAUCCGACGAGGGUCGCCGCCUCCAGGAUGCCGGAAGACGUGCAGAUGAACGACUCGGAGCCACAGCCGGUGGCCCCUCCCCCUGCCGCGGCGCCAGUGCUCUCCACCCUCCACUAUCUGAAGGAGAUCGCGUCCGUGAUCGAGGCCGGCUCCCUGUCCAAGGAGGUCCGCCGGAUCUCCUGCGCCUUCCGCCUCACCGUCGCGCUCCGCCGCCGCCUCGCCGCGUGGGACGUCUCCGCCUUCCUCGCCUUCGCGCUCCCCGCGUCCUCUGAGGCCUACGCUCGCCUCACCGCCCUGGUGCCCAAGGAUGUUCCCAGGGGAAGGGGGAGGCUGAAGCUUGAGCUAGGGUUCUACUAGUAAUUAUUGCUCACGGUUCUGGAGAUUCUGGUACUUGAGGUCUUGAAUCAAAUUACAAUGUUCAGUCAAAGCUUUCAAACAUCUUGCAUGCUAAUGAACUUGCCAGUGAUCUAAGAUAUGGUCAACCUGCAAGUAGCAUGUUUUUUUUCAGUUCUUUAGAACUGAAAGUAGUUUUUUUUCCAGAUAAACCUGCAACCUGAAAGUAGUAUUUCUUUUUUCAGAUAACUUGGUGAGAUUGACAUCAUGUAUGGGCUUCAUCGUGAUGUCAUAUAUUGUCGCUAGUUGUCGUUUUCUCUUUUUAGUUCCUAAGGUACUCCUUUUGAAUCCUCAAACUUAGUUUAUAAUAACUUUUACUAUUAAAGUUAUAUUAUGAUCAUUGUAAUCUCUGGACUCACCUUUGCAUGAGGUAUGUUGUUUCGAUCCGAAAUCAAGUGGUUUUAUCGGGAUUUUACUCGACAGACUAGUGAUUAUAUCGGUUGAGGUGAUUUUAGAUGUUUAGUGCACUAAAACUGGUAUAAUUCAGACUGGUUCUGCCACACUACCGUUCUCCGGCAACGGCGCCAGAAAGCUUGUUGGCACUCCUUAGCCUAACGAAUUACUCCGCAAGCGCACAGAGAAUGAUUGUAGCUUUCACCAGGUGAGUAAGCCUGGGAUAUCGAAUCCAAGGAACGAUAAGCUUCGACUAGUGGUCUGGAGUGAUUCAACCGGACCCGCUGGGGAGCAGAGGUACGAGGGUGGAGGGCUUAUCUCUAGAUAGAAUUCUAAUUACUAAGAUAACUUGAGAAGCUACUAACUUGAUCUGUUUCGGCGGCCUAAGCGAAGGGCUCAGAAAGGGAUGAGAAGGGGCCCAACAUACUUUCGGCAAUCCUACUGCUAUGAAAACACCCGAACGUAGUGGACUACUAGGGACAGACAAGGCUGUCACCACUUGCCGCCUACCACUGCGGUACCAUGAGGUGGAACACAACCCGAGGUAACUACCAAGCCUAGGCACCACGCCUAAACUAUCGAGUCACCGACUUCCGCCUCGCGCUAAGGCAAGAAGAAACCCCAAAUGGACAGAACUUGCUAUCGACGCAGACAAGGGAUUCCACAGAUCAAAGAUAGUAACUAAGCAAGUAACUUAAGUAAAAAGUAAACUAGCGAGGAAAACUUACUUGAUUAUAAGAUUCCCCCGAGGUGGGUACAAGAUGGGGUAAGGUCGAGAGAACUCGACUCCGCCCCUUUAGCUCGGCUUCCGCCCAAGCUCUCACCUCACACUCUCCCUAUUCUACUAAGGAUGAAACUGAAAUUGUGAGACACUCAAGCUCCCAAGGUGUGUGUUACAAGUGAGGUGAGGGGGGGUCAUAUUUAUAGUGUGCCAAGGUCAGUUCUUGACAUUUAUUUCAGGUAGCGCCAGUUGUACGCAGCAGAGGAGGCAGUGCUUGAUCUUCACGCGAAGGCUGGACACCAGAGGUUGUAGAGUGGGGCCGGGCGGUCUGGUCUAGGGCGGCCGGCCUGCCCCUGCCACCAUGUGGUACCACCUUUCCGUGGGACGGUCCUGAUCUCCUCCAGGCUUCGGCUCUUCAGGCGGUUUGAUCAAUCGACAUUCUUUUGGGCCGGGCAGCCUCCUUGGGGCUGAGCGACCUGCCUCUGGCAGCCUCUCGGUCCUCCUUUGCACUGACACGCUCCUCUCUGGCCUUGGAUCAAUCUUGGAUAGGGUGUAUGUUGAAUACUUGAUCAUGGCCCAGGUUAGCAUCUCUUUUGGAUAUGGGUUCAAGCCUUCCGGGUCCAAGUUGUGCAUUUCUUGAUAUAGCCCAUUGAGAUGGCUUGGAUUCUCCCUCUAUGUGAUUUUGGUAAAGUCUCAUGCCAAGAUUCCACCAAAAGUAUGCCGGUCGGCCGGAUUCGGGCCUUCCGGUCCAAAUAGUGUCCGUUUUGGGUCAAAUUUGGAUAUGUCGUCCCUGAGAUCAAAUAAACACCAAAACUUGUGGAACUCAUUAGUAGUAAUGGUUAUGGCAUGGUUAAGGCCUACAUUUCAUGAAAUCAGGCGGAGCGUUGGCGGUGAAAACCAUCGUUAUCGACCGCCAACAAGCACCAAAGAUUUGUUGCAAGCUUUAGCUUUGUGAUCAUUAUAGCUGAUGCAGAAUGUCAUUAUCAAUAUUUUUUCUUUUUAAAAUAGGUAAUUGCAACAACAAUACUGUUGGUACAACUACGUCGAAUAUUCUAGUCUCAUACAUGACCUACUACAAGCAGAAAAUCACUAUAAUGAUUAGAAUACCAAAAUAAAAUUUUGGUGCCAUGAAAUUCUAAAUAACUUCAAGGGAAAACUAAGGAUCAUCACAAAACAUGAGUCCUAACGAAAGCAAAGGUACUUUUAGAAAAAUACUCAACAUGACAACUUUCAAGUUUGUCCAAAUUGUGAUUGUCAUAAUCACAUCAAUAAAAGUGCAACAUUGCCAUACAUUUAGUUGACUUAUAUCUGAAAUCCGUUGACAAACAAUUUCAAGGGGACAAGUUUGAAGCUCUUCACUACUCGACCUAUUGACAUCAGUUGCUCCAAAGAUUUUCCUUCGGAAUACAAUGAAGAUGUUCUACAUAACAUAAUAAUGAGGAGAUCCCAUCACAUGGAACAACCUAUUGAGCACUGCCAACGUGGUCAUGGAAUUUCAAUUCAACAACAUAUUUGGAGACACAACCUAAUCACCAUAAUCCCCAGAAACUUGAUUAUUUAGCCAAAUUUAUAUUAUGUUGUAAAUAUUUGUUGUCAGGGAUUAUCCUACAGGAACAAUCCAAAUAAGGAAAUGAAUCCAUUUAGUGGACAUGGUACCACUAAUACUCAUAGUUAGGGAAAUUAAAAUACUUCCAAACUCUCACAAAGUGUAAAGAAAAUUCCACAAAAUUGCAUGCUGCAAUAUUGUGAUAAUUGGUUUUGGUAAAGCCACAUUAAUUUUUCCUAUGGGUACCCAAUUAACAAUUGAGGAUACAUUCUUAUAUCCCAAUAAAGCUCAUACCCAAUUGAGUUACAAAAAUAUCUGUUACAUUGUUUUCCAUGUGGAAACACAUAAUGACAACAACAAUGGAUACAAAUUCAUGAUAAAUAUGAUGGAUAUAUCAAGCAAAUGCUUGAAAUAAUUCCUUUAGCAUCAACAAAAUUGUAUUACACACACAUCAAACUCGUAGAAUGUUGCGUACAAGAUAAUUUUCAGAAUCUUGAUAUCCUCAAGAUAUGGCAUCAUCUCCUUAGUCAUUCAGGGAUACGGAUGACAUAAAAAUUAUCAGCAAUUCAAUUGGUCAUCACAUAAAUAAUUCAAAAUUUCCCAAAUCUUGAGAUUUUUGUGUGGAUUGCAUGUGCCACGGGAAAUCAAUCUUAAGAACCUCUUAUCUUAAGAUCAGGGCUGAACCACUAAAGUUCCUUGAACGCAUUCAAGGAGAAAUUUGUGGUCCAUUCAUCCAUUAGCUAGACCAAAUUGGUACUUCAUGGUACUUAUUGAUGCAUCAACUAGAUGGUCCCGUGUGUGUUUAUUAUCCAUAGAAACUCAUGCUUCUGCAUGGUUCAUUACUCAAAUUAUCAAAUUAAAGAGCACAUUAUCCGAAACACACAAUAAAAUCCAUCAGGAUUCACAAUGCCGCUAAAUUCUCCUCAAAAGCCUUCAAUUAUCAUUGUAUGGCUUUAUGCAUUACUAUGAAAUAUCUUUAUACAUACACAAAAUGGAUUAGUCAAAUCUCUUAUCAAGAGAGUAACUUAAUUGACAGACCAUUUUCAUUGAAUUGCAAAUUACCAACACAUAUAUGUCAGAUCAAUAUUUUCUCCUAUUUUCCCAAAAAUGGUUUAACGAGUUUUUCCGAUGACAUAUUCAUAUAUCUCAAUACACAAAUUCGUUUCUCCUCAGAUUUUCCCACAUGGUUUUGGAGGAGUUUUUCCAUAUGAUGAUCAAACAACGAAUGGGGAUUACAAGAAGCUAAUUGAUCAAGGGGGAGUGUUACAAGACAAUUAGUUAGUGAUCAAUUAGGAUUAAUAUAUGUAAUCUAUAAUUAGUGGAUAAUUAGCAAAGCGGAAACCACCACCCCGAAGGGAUGUUGCCAAAGGACAUCCUUUGCCUGUUUAGAAUCAUUCAUUUCCACUCAUUUCAAUCUCUUUUUCAUUCCUACUUUCAACAAUGAUUAUGCACUGGUGUGCUGGAUGUAAUCGAAGCUCCAUUGAGGCACGAGUUUGCACCCCUUGGCGAGUUGGCGUGGUUACGACCUUUUGAGGAUAGCUUUUCUAAGAACUAGCCGAUCAACCUGUGUUCUCGCACAAACUAAUUAGGAUUAAUAUAAAAAUAAAGCUUAUAACUAAUAAUUAUAAUUAUCUAUCUCAUGCACUCUUUCAUCUAUUAAAUAUUCUAACACAUACUCUAAAAUACAUGUUUAUCACUAUCUAAUUGCAAUAUAUUUCAUUUUGCAUCACACCUCCAUAUGUGUUUGAUAUAUAUUUAAUUGAACUAUUUGUUUAUGAAUUCAUAUUUUUAUCUCUUCUAUCAUACAUAAAUACACGGUGACACAUAUCAUGGGUACUAUUUUAUAUAAACAAUAAUAUAAAUACUACAUUAAUAAUAAUAGAAAUAGUAUUUUAGAAUUUUAUAUCGAUGCAAUUUAAUAUUUUUUGUAAUUAUAUAGUUUAUAUUCAGAUUUAGAGGUUACUUUAACUUUUAAUUAAUAUAAUUGGAUAAUUUCUAUGCAAAUAUAGGGGGUUAUUUGCAUUAUAUAUAAUGACAUAGGUGGGUAAUUUACACAAAGAUUAGGGGGUUACUUUAGAUUUUUUAUAAUGGCAGAGGUGGGUAAUUUAGAGACAUAUUUAGAUGGUUAUUUUAGUCUAUCUUUAUAAUGGUAGAGGUGUGUAAUUUAUUAGUAAAGAUGACAGAUUCAGUGACUAUUAUUAUUAGAGUUGUCGAUUUUUUUUAACUGGAACUGUGGGGGAGUUCCCCACAGCAUAUAUAUUAAAAAUAAAAGAGGGUGUUACAAAGGGAUUUACAGGGGUGCUUACAAAGCACGAGAAGAUGGGGGGAGGGGGGUGUCUAGUUACAAGAUUGUAUUAAGCCAUUGUACAACAGUUUUUCUAUGAUCCUCACUAACCCUAUGUAGUUGGAGGAUAACCUAUGCCUUGAACCUCACAGUCCAGAGAUGGAUGUUUAUUGAGCUGCCUUCAAAGAUAUUUCUAUUCCUGAUGUUCCAUAGCUCCCAGGCUGCAAUGAUGAAUGUUUCAAUGUAAUAAGGCAUAUUCAUGACAUUGUUUCCCUGCUCAAGCCAAUAAUGAAUAUCCAGGUUGGUGUCCCAUGUGAACCCAAAUUUCUGCCAGCAGACUGUGGAGAAAGGACACUCAAAGAAGAGAUGAUUAACAUCUUCCACUACUUGGUCGUUGCAAAGCACACAAAAAGUGUUUGGCUGAACAUGGAAGUUCCUUCUUCGUAGCAUGUCUCUAGUGUUUAGCCGGUCCAUCAGAAUAAGCCAAGCAAAAAUUUUUUGUCUUGGUGUACACUUUUAUUUCCAGACCCAUUUGAAGGUCUUAGGUACCUGUAGGUGCUUGAAUGCUAUUUUAUAAAACCGGCUUGAUGUGUAUUGGCUGUUCCCCCAAAGGAAGGACGAAACAUCUUUAGAAUCUUCAUCAUAGCUAACUUGUUGAAUGUCAUGCUGCAUUGGCAUUAGCUCAUUCAUGGCCUGUUCAGAGAGUGGAAGAUUAAAAAUUUCUCUGAUAUCAUCUGUCUGCAUAAUUCUCUAGACUGAUGUGUUUUGAUCUUUGGCA